rnacentral:rRNA from 1 species
UACAGAGGCCUCAAGCGUUGUUCGGAAUUACUGGGCGUAAAGGGAAUGUAGGUGGUUUUGUAAGUCAGAUGUGAAAGCCCUGGGCUCAACCCGGGAACUGCAUUUGAUACUGCGAAACUUGAGUGCGAUAGAGGAGAGCGGAAUUCCUAGUGUAGGAGUGAAAUCCGUAGAUAUUAGGAGGAAUACCGAUGGCGAAGGCAGCUCUCUGGCUCGUAACUGACACUGAGAUUCGAAAGCGUGGGUAGCAAACAGG